ACAUGCCUACAGCAUAGCGUUAAUGCACAGGAUCCCAUUAGAACUCCGUAGUUAAGCACGCUCAGGCUAGAGUAGUACUGGGAUGGGUGACAGCUCGAGAAGUCCUAGUGUUUUACAUGCC
rnacentral:rRNA from 1 species